AUUGAACGCUGGCGGCAGGCUUAACACAUGCAAGUCGAGCGGGGGAAGGUAGCUUGCUACCGGACCUAGCGGCGGACGGGUGAGUAAUGCUUAGGAAUCUGCCUAUUAGUGGGGGACGACAUCUCGAAAGGGAUGCUAAUACCGCAUACGUCCUACGGGAGAAAGCAGGGGAUCUUCGGACCUUGCGCUAAUAGAUGAGCCUAAGUCGGAUUAGCUAGUUGGUGGGGUAAAGGCCUACCAAGGCGACGAUCUGUAGCGGGUCUGAGAGGAUGAUCCGCCACACUGGGACUGAGACACGGCCCAGACUCCUGCGGGAGGCAGCAGUGGGGAAUAUUGGACAAUGGGGGGAACCCUGAUCAGCCAUGCCGCGUGUGUGAAGAAGGCCUUAUGGUUGUAAAGCACUUUAAGCGAGGAGGAGGCUACUUUAGUUAAUACCUAGAGAUAGUGGACGUUACUCGCAGAAUAAGCACCGGCUAACUCUGUGCCAGCAGCCGCCGUAA
rnacentral:rRNA from 1 species